rnacentral:rRNA from 1 species
AGUGAACGCUGGCGGUAGGCCUAACACAUGCAAGUCGAACGGAAGCACAGUACGUGCUUGCUCCUACGGGGGGGGAGGGGUGGAUGGGUGGGGAGUACAUCGGACUCUACUUUUUCGUGGGGGUGAGCGAAGGGAAAUUUACGCUAAUACGGCAUACGACUUGCGGGUGGGAGCGAGGGAUCUUCGGAUCUUGCGCGAUUGAAUGAGCUGUUGUCGGAUUAGUUGGUUGGUGGGGUACAGGCCCACCAAGGCGACGAUGCGUAGCUGGUCUGAGAGGAGGAGCAGCCACACUGGAGUGGAGACACGGUCCAGACUCCAACGGGAGGCAAGAGUGGGAAAGAUGGGACAAUGGGCGCAAACCGGAUCCAGCCAUACCGCGUGAGGGAAGAAGGCCGUCGGGUGGUAGAACGCUUUUGUGGGGAAAGAAAAUUUGCAUGUUAACACCGCGCUGUUCUGACGGUACCUAAAUAAGAAGCACCGGCUAACUUCGUG